GCUUUUUGUGCCGCUCCAUUGCCGCAGCCUUUGGCUGUCAAACUUUGCUGUUGUUGGGUGCCCGUGUCGUCGAUUCGUACUGACCACGCCCUAAGGCCGCAUAUGCAUCGGCAUACGCCUGCUGCUGCUGCUGCUGCUGCUGCUGUUGCUGUGGCUCCAGUUGCUGCUGCUCCUGCUGCUGCUGUAGCUGCUGAUGCUGCUGCUGCUGCUGUUCGUGCAGCGAAGUCGGCCGACUAAAGCUUACUUGUAGCAGCGGCGGCGCGACGGCUAUG
rnacentral:sRNA from 1 species